rnacentral:lncRNA from 1 species
UGGGGAAGAUAAAUGAAAGAAAUGAAACUAAAAAGGAAAAGAAAUGCUAGACUAAAAUAUGUUUAAAGAAAGAAAAUAAGAAAAUGGAAUGCAAAAGAGAAAUUAAAAUAACUAUGACCUAGAUUAAAGUACAGACGAGCUAGAAUCUAAUUAUACCUAAAACAGGACCUCAAAUGGAUGUAUUAUGCAAAAGAAAACAAAAGAUUGAAUCUGAAAAAUAAAACCAAAGCAUCCUAAUUACUUAAAUGAAUAAAAUCGGUAAUGAAUAACCAAAAGAAUCAAAUCCAACACUAGUACAAAAAUCAUAUUUUAUGACAUACAAAAACGAACUAUGACGUACAUAGUUUUGUACGUUAUAAUAGGUCUACAUAUUUUAUGACGUAGCAAAAAUUUACCUUAUCUGAACAUAUUAUGACACUGUUUCUAAAAGAAAUAAUUCU